rnacentral:rRNA from 1 species
UACGUAGGGUGCAAGCGUUAAUCGGAAUUACUGGGCGUAAAGCGUGCGCAGGCGGUGAUGUAAGACAGUUGUGAAAUCCCCGGGCUCAACCUGGGAACUGCAUCUGUGACUGCAUUGCUGGAGUGCGGCAGAGGGGGAUGGAAUUCCGCGUGUAGCAGUGAAAUGCAUAGAUAUGCGGAGGAACACCGAUGGCGAAGGCAAUCCCCUGGGCCUGCACUGACGCUCAUGCACGAAGGCGUGGGGAGCAAACAGG